rnacentral:ncRNA from 1 species
GCACAGGAGGCUCGAGUGGGCCACUACAUGAGUAAUUAUGUAUGUGAAUUCGGCUAUAACGGUGAAAUCCUUAAUGUAUUUGGGCAACGCCGUGGGAAGUCGUCCGUCUUUCGAUGAGAUUGACCCCGUAGAGACUACACGCCGACCCCCGAUAUUGUAUUGGGGUGAAGACAUAGUCCGACACUUCGAGUAAUCGAAGA